GUCUACCUUCUGGAAGCUGGAUCCUGGUCUUGGGUCCAGAGUGGGUGGAAGACGGUGUUUGACUAUUUGGAUGUCUGCGGUGGUUAUGCUAUCUAGUGGAGUGCUUGCAGCCCUCGGAAAGUACUAGGAGCAUCCGUCAAUGCAGGUACCCAGUCGGGGUGGCAGGCGAUCUGUUAAAAUAUGUAAUUUUAUUUUAACAGUUUUUUUAUAUUAAUUGAUACUGAUAUAAAUUAUGGUUUUAUUUCACGAGCAGCUCGAAGCAAAGUAAUCAGAUCAGACCAGACAGUUUUUGAUUCAAAGAUUACUUCCCUUUUUUAUUGUGUAAGGUUACAGAUUAUAUACUACUUUGUAAAAACAGCUUUGUGACUUGUGCGACAAAAACAGGAAGCUUGAAGUCACACUGUACCAUAAAAAGGAAUUCACGAAACUAAGCAUAUUUCAAUGGUUAUAUAUAACAAAACACUAGGACAUAAGAAGGGGCUGAGGGUGAAGCUGGAGAAACCACAGAAUAUCACAAGUCAAGAUUUUAUGCUUACUUAUGCUUAGUUGUCAGACACUCGAAACUAGACUAAAAAGUAAAAACAGACUGGACAUCCAGUCAUCUUAGUAGCUUGAGCCUGGGGUCAAGGUAACUUCCAUUACAUUAAUAUAUAUACAUUUGUAUCAAAAUACACUUUGAAUAAAAUUAUAUAUAUAUAAAAGUAUGUGAACCCUUUGGAAUGAUAUGGAUUUCUGCACAAAUUGGUCAUAAAAUGUGAUCUGAUCAUCAUCUAAGUCACAACAAUAGACAAUCACAGUCUGCUUAAACUAAUAACACACAAAGAAUGAAAUGUUGCCAUGUUUUUAUUGAACACACCAUGUAAACAUUCACAGUGCAGGUGGGAAAAGUAUGUGAACCCUUGGAUUUAAUAACUGGUUGAACCUCCUUUGGCAGCAAUAACUUCAACCAAAUGUUUCCUGUAGUUGCAGAUCAGACGUGCACAAUGGUCAGGAGUAAUUCUUGACCAUUCCUCUUUACAGAACUGUUUCAGUUCAGCAAUAUUCUUGGGAUGUCUGGUGUGAAUCGCUUUCUUGAGGUCAUGCCACAGCAUCUCAAUCGGGUUGAGGUCAGGACUCUGACUGGGCCACUUCAGAAGGCGUAUUUUCUUCUGUUUAAGCCAUUCUGUUGUUUAUUUACUUCUAUGCUUUGGGUCAUUGUCCUGUUGCAACACCCAUCUUCUGUUGAGCUUCAGCUGGUAGACAGAUGGCCUUAAGUUCUCCUGCAAAAUGUCUUGAUAAACUUGGGAAUUCAUUUUUCCUUCGAUGAUAGCAAUCCGUCCAGGCCCUGACGCAGCAAAGCAGCCCCAAACCAUGAUGCCCCCACCACCAUACUUCACAGUUGGGAUGAGGUUUUGAUGUUGGUGUGCUGUGCCUUUUUUUCGCCACACCUAGCGUUGUGUGUUUCUUCCAAACUACUCAACUUUGGUUUCAUCUGUCCACAGAAUAUUUUGCCAGUACUGCUGUGGAACAUCCAGGUGCUCUUGUGCAAACUGUAAAUGUGCAGCAAUGUUUUGUUUGGACAGCAGUGGCUUCCUCUGUGGUAUGCUCCCAUGAAAUCCAUUCUUGUUUAGGGUUUUACGUAUUGUAGAUUCGCUAACAGGGAUGUUAGCAUUUGCCAGUGACUUUUGUAAGUCUUUAGCUGACACUCUAGGAUUCUUCUUCACCUCAUUGAGCAGUCUGCACUGUGCUCUUGUCAUCUUUACAGGACGGCCACUCCUAGGGAGAGUAGCAGCAGUGCUGAACUUUCUCCAUUUAUAGACAAUUUGUCUUACCAUGGACUGAUGAACAGCAAGGCUUUUCGAGAUACUUUUAUAACCCUUUCCAGCUUUAUGCAAGUCAAAAAUUCUUAAUCGUAGGUCUUCUGAGAGCUCUUUUGUGCGAGGCAUCAUUCACAUCAAGCAAUGCUUCUUGUGAAAAGCAAACCCAGAACUGGUGUGUGUUUUUUAUAGGGUUGGGCAGCUGUAACCAACACCUCCAAUCUCAUCUCAUUGAUUGGACUCCAGUUGGCUGACAUCUCACUCCAAUUAGCUCUUGGAGAAUACAUUAGUGUUCAAAACAGUAAAGAAUAUCACAGCGAUGAUAUUGUCAGUGAAAGUGACGUUUUUGGCAUUUUUCACACACAAACGGUGUAUAAUAAUUCCACACACCAAUAGCCGAGUAACUUUUUUAUAGUGUUUUUGAAAGUUACAGGGUCAAAUAUAAGGCUUCAUUUAAAAAAAAAUUCACAUUGAAAUUUGCCAUAUUGGUUAUGUUGACUUUGAGAGCGUAUGGUAGCCCAGGAAUGAGAAUUACCCCCAUGAUGGCAUACCAUUUGCUAAAGAAGACAACCCAAGGUAUUGCAAAUAGGGUAUGUUCAGUCUUUUUUAGUAGCCACUUAGUCACAAACACUGGCCAAAGUUACCAUGCAUAAUACUUUUUUGCAUUUUUAACACACACAAAUAAAUGCUGAUUGUGGCCAGUGUUUGUGACUAAAUGGUUACUAAAACGACUGGAUAUACCCCAUAUUGAAUACCCUGGGUUGUCUACUUUAGAAAAAAAAUAUGUACAUGUGAGGUGUUAUUCAGAGAUUUAUGAAAGAUAACAGUGUUACAAUGUCACUAUUGAUACAUUUUAAAACAAUAUAUUUUGAAACAGCAAUGUCCUACUUGUACUUAUAGCCCUAUAACUUGCAAAAAAAAGCUAAGAACAUGUUAACAUUGGGUAUUUCUAAAGUGAGGACAAAAUUUAGAAACUAUUUAACAUGGGUGUUUUUUGGCGGUUUUAGAUGCGUAGAUUUUGGGGGAUAAAGUUAGAGAAAGUGUUUUUUUUUACAUGUUUUCAUCAUAUUUUAUAAUUUUUUGUAGUAAUUUAUAUGAUAUGAUGAAAAUAGUAGUAUCUUUAGAAAGACCAUUUAAUUGCAAGAAAAACUAGAUAUAAUACGUGUGGGUACAGUAAACAAGUAAAAUUAAAAUUACAGCUAAACUCAAACACCGCAGAAAUGUGAAAACAGCCCUGGUCCUAAAUGGUAAGAAAAUUGAAAAAUGGUCUGGUCGCUAAGGUGUUAAAAUGCCAAUGUUUUAAAAAACUAUGGUAGGGGUAUACCCAGAUACCCCUACACCCACCUGGUUCUGAGCCACCAACAAGCUCGAAACCUGCCAAACUUACUGUAACAGAUACCCUGUUAACUUGCCUGGUCAUUGGAUUUAUAACAUUGUUACAGUUGAACUCACAGUACUAUAUCCCAAACAUACGAAUUUGGAAACGAACAGCUAGGUUAAUGUGUUUGUAUAACCGAACAAACAACCAAACAAACUGUCAAUCGAGAGACCACCCAGACCAGUCGUGUGCCGCCAAUUGACUCAUUGACUCUGUGCCAAACCGCAACUUCAACAUUCUAAGUGGAUCACUGGGUGGCCGUCGAUUCGUAUGAACGAACACGUCGUGGCGGCCAUCUUGUUUUGUUGAACGCGUCCAGCGGUAUUUGGUCAUCGAGUGUCUGGAACUCUUUUCAUGCACUCGAACUCUCGAACACCCCUUAGACUUCCAGGACCACUUAGAUUCGUGCUAAUUCAUCCGAAGGAGGCGGCGUUCGGUAAAGACGCUAUACGAACGAGGCUGCACAUAACCAUCAAACUCACGAACACUUAUGUGAAUGGUUAUUCGGUAUUUUUAAACAUACGAAAAGGGACCAGCCGCACCAGCUGAAUGCAUGGAACUAUUUUGGGCAGGAGCCUCAUGUGCGGCCGGGCAGAAAUGGGACUUCCACCUAUUUCCCGAAACCCCUGAACCGAUUUGCAUAAUUUUUUUAAUAUGUUGGUCCCCUAAUUAUGCCCUAUCAGAAUAUAUAAGUUUCAUGGGAAUUGGAUGUGUGUUUAUGAUAUUUUUGAAAAUGUGUAAAAAGCUUCAUUUUUUUCAUAAUUGAGUUCAUACAGUAAUUAACUAAAUUAUCUCCCAAGCAGAGGGGAGGAAUUUACUGUAAUGAAUGGGAGUGUUUAACUUUGUGAUUGUACACUAUUGGCUGUUAAAUGUAUUUUUCGGUGCCCCACAAGGUCCAUAGUGGGGCUGAUGAAGUGGGGCUGACACCCACGAAACGCGUUAGACAGACUGAUACCAGUAAGCAGGAUACGGAGCAAAGCUAAACCGGCAGAAGUAAUCUCUCUCCCUGAACUAGAGAACACCGUCAAUCAGGGGACCGACCUUCCAACCCCAGAGUGAGGUCUGGGACGCACGCCCAAUUUGUUCGGCAGCCGGCAAGUACAGAGACACAUUUCUGUUACAUUAAAUCUAUAUCCAUCCUAGCCGGACCCUGUGACUGUGUAGAGAACAAUAUCAUCCUUCUGCUGGUAACUCUUUUGCUAACCGUUCCUGACCCAUAUUUUAAUAUAUUUUAAUAUAUUUCAUAUUUUUUUAUAUAUACAUUUUUAUUCUUUGAUAUGUCUUUGGAUCACAAUAAAAAAUGUUUGAUUACUAGAAGUUUUCCAAGUUUUAUCACUAAGUAUUAGAAUUUAGUGGUUUCUCUAAUCUUUUACAAGUUUUCUUGUAAUUCAUAUUACAUUUUUUUGCAGUACUCCUAUUAGGUCUAUAAUUAAUAUUCUUAGCACACUAUUUAGUUAAUCUAUCCAUUUAAAGAGACAGUGUUUUGGAUUAAUAAUACCACUGUAUCUCAAUACUUAAGAGAAGACAGCGGUUUAUGCUGUUAUUCUUUAUUAUUCAACUAUCUAAGCUAAGUAGAUUAUUUGGUGUAUACUAUAUUGGAUCUGCCUGUAGCAGAUUUAAAGCUAUACACACCAUACAUAUUGUUGCCAUAUUUGAACAAACUGUCGCAAGUCUUUCUAUAUACAAUAUAGAAGCCAUUAUUGGGUUUAAUAGCUCCUGGACUUUUGAACUGUACCUAGGUGCGAUUCUUUUGGAUCUAUCCCAGUGAGUGCCUGAGAUUUUUUCUUUUAUACUAGGGGACACUGAGACACUAGGAGACAUGGGGACCCUGUAGACAGAUUUUUUUUCUUUUAUACUAUGGGACACUGAGACACCUGGAGGCACUGUUAGACAUGGGGACACUGGGAGACUAGGGGAUUCUGAGAGACCAGGGACACUGAGACACUAAGGACACUGAGAGACACCGGGGACACUGGGAGACAUGGGGCACUGAGACACUCUGAUACAUAUGGGACAUUUCGAUACAUAGGGGACACUGGAGACUUGAUAAAGACCUGGGUACAGGUUGAAACGUUGUGGUGUCCAAUAAACCUGCUUAAUCUAUCACAGUGAGUGCCUGAGAUUUUUUCUUUUAUACUAGGGGACACUGAGACACUAGGAGACAUGGGGACCCUGAAGACAUUGGGACACUGAGACACUGGGAGACUAGGGGGCUUUGGGAGACUAGGGGGCUUUGGGAGACUAGGAGGCUUUGGGAGACUAGGCAACACUGAGACACUAGGGACUAAUCCCACGCUUAGAUUAGUUCCUAGUGUCCACGGACAUUGAGAGACACCAGGGACCUGGGAGACAUGAUGAUACUGAGAUACUAGGGACACUGGCUGGGAGACAUGGGGACACUGGGAGUGCCCCAUGUCUCCCAGGUCUCAAAGUCGCCCAGUGUCCCCAUGUCUCCCUGUGUCCACUAGUGUCCCCAUGGCUCUCAGUGUCCCCUAGUGUCCCAGUGUCCCCAUGUUGCCCAGUGUCCCCUAGUGUUUGUAUCCCCAUGUCUCCCAGUGUUCCGAUGUCACUAGGACACUAGGGGACACUUAGAGACAUUGGGACACUGUGAAACAUGGGGACACUGAGAAACUGGCCCUGCCCAUGUCUCCCAGUGGGAGAGGCAUGGGGACACUGAGAUACACGUGGAUCUGGGACAUGGGGACACUGGGAGACUAGGAACACAGAUACUAGGGACACUGAGAGACAACAGUGACACUGGUAGACAUGGGGACACUGAGAGACACCAGGGACACUGAGAGACAUGGGGACACUGGGAGACACCAGGGACACUGGGAGAUAUGGGGACACUGGGGGAUAUGGAGCCACUGGGAGACCAGGGCCACUGGGAGACAUGGGCAGGGCCAGUUUCUCAGGGUCCCCAUGUUCCCCAGUGUCCCUAUGUUUCCCAGUAUCCCAAUGUCUCAACGUCCGCAAGUCUCUCACCGUCCCCAUGUCUCGCAGGCUCGGAGCUGGUGUCUGGACUGUCUGUGCAGAGCUGCUCCCCUGUGGAUCAGUGUGUAGAGAGAGGCAGGGAGGGAGAUGCUGUAACUUUUCAUCCCUGCCUCUCUCCACACAAACAGCGACCCCUACUGGCCAGCGCUGGUAUUGCAGAAUAAUCUCGUUUUAUACUGAGACAGACAUUUGUAUUGCCGGUAUUACUGCAAUACCGGCAUCGGCUGGCAGCCUCAAAUACCUGAGAAAUACUUCUGAAAAAUACCUGGCAACCAUAAGAAAUACAUGAGAAAUACCUGGCAACCCUAAGAGUAGGUUUUUUUUGUUGUUUUUUUUUUUAAAUCAAUGGGCCUAUUCCAUGGGCCUGGGCCUGGAUCUGCAUCUCCAUCAGCCCCUAUGUUAAUCUGGCCUUGCACCUGGGUGAUAAAAGUUGCAUAAAAGGCCAGCCUGGCACAUUAAACUCUCAGAUCUGCUUAACCCUCAAUAAGUAGCCUCGUCUUGUGUUUGUAGGGAACCUGCUUCCAGCUAACCACUAGCUCUUGAAAGAGCUCUGCUAUUCUUUCGCUACUGGUUCGGCUGAUGGGACAUCUGGAGAACACUGCAGCACAGCUUCUCUUAAGGAAAAAGAACAUCUCCAACGGCAUACACCCCUCUGAUACACAGGGUAGCCGUUACACUUACCAAGAAUCAUAUUAACCAUUACUAAACCAGCAUAACGAAGAGCCUAUUUUCCUAUCCUUCAGCUCACUAUCCCUCCGCAAGCUCAGACUUUGAUCCUUUAAGCCAUCUGAGCUCUGUCACCCCUAAGAAACAGUGAUCUAAACAGCCCUUGCUGCAACUCUAGGUUCAGUAGGUCCCACCCUACCUGGAUGGGGUGAACUCCAUCCAAGUGAUAGUAACUGGGUAACCCAGCCUCCAAUUCCUUAUACCUCACUGUGACUCCCCCAACUUCCUUACAAAACUAGCCAUUAAGCUAUUACCUGAAGGAUUGUGCAUGUCGCCACUGCAGCUGGGACACAAUUUCCAAUCAUACUAUCAUCACCUUGGGAAGCAGGUACUGCAACCUAUUAAUAUCCUGCUUCAAUCACUGCUUCAAUAAGUAGCCUCGUCUUGUGUUUGUAGGGAACCUGCUUCCAGCUAACCACUAGCUCUUGAAAGAGCUCUGCUAUUCUUUCGCUACUGGUUCGGCUGAUGGGACAUCUGGAGAACACUGCAGCACAGCCUCUCUUAAGGAAAAAGAACAUCUCCAACGGCAUACACCCCUCUGAUACACAGGGUAGCCGUUACACUUACCAAGAAUCAUAUUAACCAUUACUAAACCAGCAUAACGAAGAGCCUAUUUUCCUAUCCUUCAGCUCACUAUCCCUCCGCAAGCUCAGACUUUGAUCCUUUAAGCCAUCUGAGCUCUGUCACCCCUAAGAAACAGUGAUCUAAACAGCCCUUGCUGCAACUCUAGGUUCAGUAGGUCCCACCCUACCUGGAUGGGGUGAACUCCAUCCAAGUGAUAGUAACUGGGUAACCCAGCCUCCAAUUCCUUAUACCUCACUGUGACUCCCCCAACUUCCUUACAAAACUAGCCAUUAAGCUAUUACCUGAAGGAUUGUGCAUGUCGCCACUGCAGCUGGGACACAAUUUCCAAUCAUACUAUCAUCACCUUGGGAAGCAGGUACUGCAACCUAUUAAUAUCCUGCUUCAAUCACUUCACAAGCUGCCAUUGCGGGACAAGGCCCAAGUCAUUACAGCACAGAGUGUAGUGGUGUUGUGGAGACAUUCUCAGGCACCAAAUGUAGUGGUAUUAUGGAGACAGGCUUGGAGACUAUGGUGAGGCUUAAUAGAAAGCAGUUGUUUUCUCUCAUAAGAGGUGUGGAGCUGGACAAUAGUGGUCUUGUGAGAUGUCCUUCCGGAGCUACUGCUCACAGAGACAGGAGCCGUAUUUGUAAUAUUGUUAAGCGAACAAAGCAGGAAGGGGAAUUGGAUGUACUUGUCCAUCUAGGGACAAAUGACUUGGCUUGCAACGAGGUUUCAGAGGUAAAGGAAGUUUUUAGUGUUUUUGCCAAUGAUAUACAGCAAGUUGCUUCCACACUGUCAUUCUUUGAAGUUCUGCCUGUGUAUAACACUCAGAACAACAGACGGAUGCGUAUUACGGACUUUAACUUGUGGCUUGGUGAAUGGUGUUGGGAACAAGGAUUUGGCUUAAUUUCUCAUGGUAGCUCUGUUUGGAAUAGAAAUAAACUGUACAAAAAAGAUGGUUUGCAUCUUUCUCAAAAGGGAACAAAUGUUCUCAGUGAGCAUUUCAGAGGUUUUGCUAGGAUGUAUUUAAACUAGGAGGGGGCAAAAGGCUGAUAAAACAUCAAUCUAAUUGCCCCCCAAAAGAAGUACAGAAGGUGCAUGUAGCAAGUGUGUUAAAAAAUGAUAAGCUUAGAGUCAUGUCUACAAAUUCUCGCAGUUUAGGGAAUAAGAUCCAUGAACUUGUGGCAAUAAUCGCAACUGAUAAUGUAAAUUUAGUCGCUGUUACUGAGACAUGGUAUAAUGAGAAAAAUGACUGGGACAUAGCAAUACCAGGGUACUCUUUAUAUAGAAAAGACAGGGAAGGCAAGAAAGGGGGAGGGUGGCCCUGUACGUGAAGGAUAGCAUAAAAUAUAGCUUAAUAAAAAAUUAAUGAGGCAAAGAUACGGUCCGUUUGGGUUAUACUAAAUUUGGUAAUCACACAGUAACUCGUGUAGGUGGGAUUUAUAGGCCCCCAGGACAAAUAGAAGAGUUAGAUAAUCUACUAGUUGAGGAAAUAGCUAAAAUGACCAUGAAGGGGGAAGUUAUCAUCAUGGGUGACUUUAAUCUUCCUGAUGUGAAUUGGAAAACCAAAAUAGCUGCUUGUGCCAGGAGCACACAUAUUCUAAACUCCCUACUGGUAUUGUCUCUAAAACAAGUUGUUGAGGAGCCAACUCAUAAAGUGUUAACAAAUGGAGAUUUGGGAUCAGAUAUCACGGUAGGUGAAAGUUUAGGAUCCAGUGUUUAGGAUCCAUCAGUCAGUUUGGUUUAAUAUAAGAACAGUGACUGAGUCACACCACACAAAAACAAAAGUUUUUGACUUUAGAAAAACACACUUUUCUAAAAUUAGAAUGUGUGUAAAGGAGUCAUUAUCAGACUGGAGCAAUUUAAGUGGAGUCCAAGAGAAAUAGGAUUUUUUUAAAGUUGCACUGCUGAAGACAACAGAAAAUUGCAUUAGGCUUGUCAGUAAAAGCAAAAAAGAAACCACUGUUUUACCCCACAGAUGUGGUGAAAAUAGUAAAAAACUAAAAGUUAGCAUUUAGUAAUUAUAAAAAACCCAAAGUGAGGAAGACAGAAUGAUCUAUAAGAUUAGAUCAUACGAUUAGAGUAUAAGAGCUUCCAAAUCACACACAGAAGGAAUGGUUAAGGUAACUUAACAUGUAUACCUUGGAGGAAAGACGAGACAGGGGGGAUAUGAUAGAAACAUUUAAAUACAUAAAGGGAAUCAACACAGUAAAGGAGGAGACUAUAUUUAAAAGAAGAAAAGCUACCACAACAAGAGGACAUAGUCUUAAAUUAGAUUUAAAUGUUUAAAAAUAAUACCAGGAAGUAUUACUUUACUGAGAGAGUAGUGGAUGCAUGGAAUAGCCUUCUAGCUGAAGUGGUAGAGGUUAACACAGUAAACUAGUUUAAGAAUACGUGAGAUACACAUAAGGCUAUCCUAACUAUAAGAUAAGGCCAGGGACUAAUGAAAGUAUUUAGAAAAUUGGGCAGUGUAGAUGGACCGAAUGGUUCUUAUCUGCCAUCACAUUCUGUUUCUAUGUUUCUAUUAGCUCCCGGAUGUAAAACAAUAAUAUCAGGCAGACCCCCAUCUGACACCAUCCAAACACUCCACUAUACAUGUCUCAACAACAAAAGCCCCUGUAAACGAACCAACGUAUCAAAAUCUGGUCCCCAGGAAAGACCAGCUGCUGACCCUAAAAAAGAUCUGCAGCCCUCCUCUAUGCCCAGAAAACAAAAGAAUGAUCCACGAUGCAGGUGACUUUACCUAGGGAGACAAACGAACAACGUCAACACUGACCCCAACCCCAACUCCCACAGUCCCAACAACCCUAAGCCAGCAGCCCCAAGAGCACAUAAAAAUGGAACCUUACCGACUCCCACCGUCCAAUCCUCUUGACCGGGGCCUCCCUGAUCCCCAACCGCGUCACUUCCACAGCCGUUUGACGCAGAAGAAGUGAGUCCCAAACUGACCUGCACGCAACCCCAACUUCUCCAAACUCAAAAUAAGGGGAAAUAAGUUAACCUCUGAUUCAAGAUUCUUUUGUUUCAGGUAUUGUACUGGAGGAUUGGAGGAAGGCAGAUGUUGUUCCUAUAUUUAAAAAAGGUUCAAAAUCCUUGCCUGGAAAUUAUAGACCUGUGAGCUUAACUUCUUUAACUGGGAAAAUAUUUGAAGGGCUAUUAAGGGAUAAUAUUCAGGAAUUCAUUGGGAAGAACUUUGUUAUUAGCAAUAAUCAGCAUAGUUUUAUGAAACAUAGGUCAUGUCAAACUAACCUAAUUGCAUUCUACGAAGAUCAUGUAACCAGUACUCCCGAAAGGGAUGAACAUGCCCAAAAAGCAGGCGUGUCUGCCCAAAGAAUUGGAAGGCUAUCCUGGCAUGAAUGCAUGUCAGGCUGCCUGCUAAUCAUGCAUGCUGGCCAACAGCAUCCUGAGCUUGGCAUAAAUGCGUCUAAUGAUGCGCUCACUCCAUGCUUCCUAAGGACUGUCCCCUAACACUCACCCCUAAUGUCCACUUGUCUCCUUGUCUCCUUACCUUCGUACUAGUAGGCAGAAGCUCCUGGUAUACAGUCUGAGCUUCUGCCUACUGACAGAGAAAAGGUGGAAGUAGUGUGCGCAGAAGAAAGGGAACAUGCUACAGUGUUAGAGAGACCAAAGUCAGCAUUACCUUAGCUAAUUUCAUUUCAGCUAGUCCACACAAGUUUUGUUUCCAUAUAUACCUCUUAAGUUUCCAUACUUAAGUAAGAUUACGUGAAGAGUAGUUAGGGUUGUCACCUUUCUUGGAAAAAAAUAGAUGACAUCACAUGAUGUAAAUCACAAGGAGUGACAUAAGAGUAGUGAUGUCGCGAACCUGAAAUUUUCGGUUCGCGAACGGCGAAUGCGAACCUCCGCAAAUGUUCCGAACCUCCGCAAAUGUUCGGGAACCGGCGAACCUGGCGAACCGCCAUAGACUUCAAUGGGCAGGUGAAUUUUAAAACACACAGGGACUCUUUCUGGCCACCAUAGUGAUGGAAAAGUUGUUUCAAGGGGACUAACACCUGGACUGUGGCAUGCCGGAGGGCAAUCCAUGGCAAAACUCCCAUGGAAAAUUACACAGUUGAUGCAGAGUCUGGUUUUAAUCCAUAAAGGGCAGAAAUCACCUAACAUUCCUAAAUCACAAUGAAUAUGGAUUGACACCUGACAUAUGACAUAUUGACACCUUGACAUAUGGAUUGACACCUGUCCUCAGAGCCCCUGAUGUACACGGACACAGAGCAGAAUAGAGACUGGUCCCCCUACAUAGGGUCACUUGGCAGAUAUGGAUUGACACCUGUCCUCAGAGACCAUGAUACACACUGACACAGAGCAGAAUAGAGACUGUUCCCUACAUAGGGUCACUUGGCAGAUAUGGAUUGACACCUGUCCUCAGAGACCAUGAUACACACUGACACAGAGCAGAAUAGAGACUGUUCCCCCUACAUAGGGUCACUUUGCAGAUAUGGAUUGACACCUGUCCUCAAAGCCCCUGAUGCACACUGACACAGAGCAGAAUAGAGACUGUUCCUCCUACAUAGAGUUACUUGGCAGAUAUGGAUUGACACCUGUCCUCAGAGACGAUGAUACACACUGACACAGAGCAGAAUAGAGACUGUUCCCCCUACAUAGGGUCACUUGGCAGAUAUGGAUUGACACCUAUCCUAAGGAUCCCUGAUAAACAAUGACACAGAGCAGAAUAGGGACUGUUCCCCCUACAUAGGGUCACUUGGCAGAUAUGGUUUGGCACCUGUCCUCAGAGACCAUGAUACACACUGACACAGAGCAGAAUAGAGACUGUUCCCCCUACAUAGGGUCACUUGGCAGAUAUGGAUUGACACUCUCCACAAGGACAAGCUGCAGGCUUCCGGGCAGGGCCCAUACAAGGUGGUAGAGCAGGUUUGUGAUACCACCUUUGUGAUCGGUGCGGUCACAGGCACGGGAGGCAAGCGCAUGCUCCAUGUGAACAUGCUCAAGCCAUACCACGAGCGCACGGAAGAGGUAACCGCGAUCUGUGCACCUGCCACUGAAGAUUAUGAUAAGUAACUGCUAUUCAAUCUAUAACAGUGAAAAAAAGUUUUUUGUUUUUAAAUGCAAGCUAUUGUGACACCAGAUAUGAGUGGUGGCACUGACUGGGCAAAUGGGCACAGUAUCCACUGUGAGCCUGACACAUAAGCUGGCAGGCAGGCAACUGCAAUUACAUUACACAGAAAAAAAAAAAAAAAAGCAGACUGAUGUUUAAGCCCUAAAAAGGGCUUUUUGGGGUGCUGUCCUUAUAGCAGAGAUCAGAUGAGUCCUUCAGGACUGUAGUGGACACUGAAUACCCUAGCCUAACUAUCAAUUUCCCUAUCUAAUGAGCAGCAGCUACACUUUCCCUCCUUUCACUAAGCAUGCAGCUUCAGAAUGAAUCUAAAAUGGAUGCUGGGAGGGAGGUGGGAGGGUCUGGAAGGGAGGGUCUGCUGCUAAUUUGCUGGAAUGUGUCUGCUGACCGUGAGGCACAGUGUCAAAGUUUGCUCAAUGAUGACGAAUAGGGGGCGGAUCAAACUGCGCAUGUGUUCGCCCGCGGCGGUGAACGCGAACACGCUAUGGUCGCCAGGAACUAUUCGCCAGCGAACAGUUCGGUACAUCACUACAUAAGAGACAAUUCUGUAAAAUCACCCAAAACACUACUUACAGUUUGAUACUGCUGUAUAGACUGCUGUCUCCUAGGCCUCCCAGUAUCACCAUGUCGCCCAGUGUAUGUGUCCCCAUGUCUCCAUGUCACUAGGGAACACUGUGAGACAUGGGGACACUGGGAGACUUGGGGACACCGGGGGACACUGAGACUAUGUAUCACAGUGUCACUAUGUAUCACAGCGUCUCAGUGCUCCAUGUCUCCCAAUGUCCCCAUGUCUCUGUGUUCCCACAUUGCCCAUAGUCUUCAUGUUGCCCAGAGUCCCCUAGGGUCUGUGUCUCCAAGUCUCCCAAUAUCCCCAUGUCAGUGGGGGACACAGAGAUAUGGGUCUGUGUCUCCAGGUCUCACAGUAUCCCCAUAUCAGUAGGGGACACAGAGAUAUGGGAACACUGGGAGACAUGGGAACACUGAGACACUAGGGACACUGAGACACUGGUAGACAUGGGGACACUGAGACACCAGGGACACUGGCUGGAAAACAUAAGGACACUGAGACACUUGGGGACAUUGUGUCCCAAGUGUCUCAGUGUCCCCAUGUCUCCCAGUAUUCCCAAGUGUAUCAGUGUCCCCAUGUCUCAGUGUCCUCAUGUGUCUGUUUCCCCAUGCUUCACAGUGUCCCCUAAUGUCUCAGUGUCCCCAUGUCUCCCUGCAGCUUUCACCCCAUCCCUCACUUCCCUGAGCUGUAGGCUGUCUCUGCAGGCUGGGAGCUGCUGUCUGGACUCUGUGCUGUGUAGCUGCUCCCCCGCACAGCAGUGAGUAGAGAGAUGCAGAUAUAUGCUGUAACUUCCUAUCCCUGCCUCUCUCCACACACACACACACACACACACACACACAGCAACCCCUACUGGCCAGUGCUGGUAUUGCAGAGUAAUUCUGUUUAUACUGAGAAAAAUACCGGCAUUUGUAUUGCCGGUAUUACUGCAAUAUCAGCACCGGCCAGGCAGCCUCAAAUAAAUACCUGCCAGGUGGCAACCCUAAGAUGUGUAAAAAAUAAAUAUAUAUAUAUAUAUAUAUAUAUAUAUAUAUUUAUUUAUUUUUAAUUUGAGUUUUAUUGUUAUUUCACAACGAGUAACGGGGGUACAGAAGGCAAAGAAGGGGGGGAAAGGUAUGAUGGUUGUGGUACAUACAUUUUAUACAGCAGUGUUGAAAUAGACAAAUAGACAUCAAUUCCCAUUGUCCUUUACGUACUAGUACCGCUAUUAUUGUCUUAUCGUUCUGUAUUUUGUGAAACCAGAGAUUCUGGGAGUAGGGAAUGGUGGGGAGAGCGGGUAAGUACUAUAUACAUGGGGGGUGGGUGGGGGGAAAGGUACAAGGUGUCUUUUAUUAUUAUUACUUUUCAGUCUAUUGUGGUUGAUUCCGUACUAGUGCCCAGUGUUUCAGCCAGGGUUCCCAUGUGGUUAAGUAGGUAUUGUAUUUGCCUAUUGUGGACCAAUGUAGCAUUUCCAUUUCUCUCAUGUGCUCUACCCUUUCUAUCCAUUGUUUAGCUGUGGGUGGUACAUUUUGCUUCCAGUGGACUGGUAUAAGGUUGUUUGCUUCUCCCAGAAGGAGCCAUAGUAGGCGCUUACUCCUCAUGCAUUGAAAGGAGUGUGGCCAUCCUAGCAGAACUUGGAAGGGGGUUAGAGAGUGUGGUAUCUUUAAGAUCUCAUCGAUCUUGGAUAUUACUUCUUCCCAGUAUGUUCUUAUAAGUGGGCAAAACCACCACAGAUGUCCCAUACUGCCCACUUCUCCCCCGCAUCUCCAGCAUUGGUCACUAAUUGUUUGCCAAUAUAAAUGGAGUACAUCUGGAGUUCUAUACCACCUAGUAAUGCGCUUAUAGAAAGACUCUUGAUAGGCUACUGGAAGUGUGCAAGGGUUUUGUGAAGAUAUAUGCCCAGUCCUGGUGUGUCAUGUGUAUGUGAAGUUCCUUCAUCCAUUUACGUUGGUAUGCUAGGGUCUCCUGAGCAUUGUCGUUAGUUUGGAUGAGUUUAUAAAUUUGUGAUAGGGUGCGUUUUAUCGGCUUUGCGGUCGUGCAUAAUUGCUCAAAGGGGGUUAAACCUCUUGGGGUCCAAUUUGGUAGUACUGUUUGAGUGAUAGAGUGUCUCAGUUGUGCGCAUUUCAUUGCUUCCAUUAGUGAACGGUGGCCUCUCGUAAUUUGGAACUGCUUGAGUUUAGGGGGUGUAUCUCCUGUCAGUAGGUCUCCUAUUUGUGGGUUUUGUAUUCCCAAUAGUUUUAUUAUAGUAUCUGCCCCUCUACCUCCUAAUAUAUCCGGGUUAUGGUUUAAUGGAUAUAAUGGAGAGAUGCCUGGUGACAGUUUCCAUGCAUUUUUGUGUGAUCUCCACUUCUUUAGGAUGUGGGGGAUAAGGGGGUGUGUCAUGGUGGUCAGCUGCUGAAGUUGGCAUGUUUGGGAGGGAUGAUAGAGGAGCCUGUGCAUACUAUGUCGUACCACGCUUUUUUGUGCUUUGUAUCUAUCCAUUCCCUUAUUCUAGUGAAAAGGACUGCUAUGUAGUAGUUGUACAUAUGGGGUAGUCCCAUACCUCCUUUCUUUUUAUCCCGUGUGAGUAUUUCAUAUGCCAGUCGGGAUUUUUUGUUUCCCCAAACAAACGUAAGGAAGAUUUUUUUCAGUGUGUGGAAGAACAAGCGUCCGAGCUCGAUAGGGAGCGUUUGGAAUGUAUAUAGAAUUUUUGGUAGUAUCAUCAUCUUAAUAAUGUUGACUCUUCCAAAAAGGGAGAAGUGAGGUUUGUCCCAGUGUUUGAGUUGUGAUUUAAUGUUAGCCAAUAGGGGAAUGUAGUUCAUUCUAUAGAGGCUUGUCAUUGUGGGUGCGAGUUUGAUGCAUAAAUAUGUGAGGCCUGUGUUUGCCCAUCGAUAAGGGUAGUUGUGACUUAUGUGUUUGUGUUGGGUCGGUUUUAGGUUUAUUCCCAUUAGUUCGCACUUAUCAGCAUUUAUUUUGAAAUUUGAGUAUGUGCUGAAGUGUUCUAUUUUGCUCUGGAGAUGCGGGAGAGAUCGCUCAGGGUGGGUGAGUGUUAGGAGCACGUCGUCUGCAAAAGCAGAUACUUUUACUUCCUGUUCUCCUGCCCUGAUGCCUUUAAUGUUGGUAUUUGCCCUGAUGGCGUUCAGAAAUGGUUCCAUCACCAGAACGAAUAGCAGUGGGGACAGAGGGCACCCUUGUCUUAUGCCAUUACUUAUGGCAAAGGGGGGAGAGUUUUGCCCAUUAACUCCAAUUGUGGCUGAUGGUCCCUUAUAUAGUGUUCUCACCCAUCGUAUGUAAUUGGGGCCGAUUCCUAUGGUUUCAAGGGUGGUGAACAGGAAGGUCCAGUCUACUCGGUCGAACGCCUUUUCGGCAUCCACCGAGAGGAGUAUUGUUGAUUCCCUGGUGGUAGAGGCACCAUGUUUGAGGUUAAGAAUUCUUGUGGUAUUGUCUCUCGCCUCCCUGCCGGGGAUGAAACCCGCUUGGUCCGUAUGGACCAGGUCAGGUAGUAGUGUCUUGAGUCGGUUGGCGAGGAUUUUUGCAAGCAGUUUAACAUCAAGAUUAAUCAGGGAGAUGGGUCUAUAACUACCACACAGGCUCUGGUCCUUGCCGGGUUUUGGCAGGAUUGUUAUCGAUGCUUUCAGCAUCGGGGGUGGUAAUUCCGUAGUGGUUAGCAGAUUGUUAAGUACUUCUAGAUAGUGGGGAGAUAGGAUGUGUUGGAAAGAUUUGUAGUAUCUGGCCGUUAGGCCAUCUGGUCCCGGGCUUUUACCCUUAGGAAGUGUUUUAAUUGCUCGCUGCAAUUCUUCUAGCUGGAUGUGGGAGUCCAAUAUGGUUGACUGGUGAGCGUCUAUGGUUUUUUGGGUAUGAGAGGAGAUGUAUGUUUUAAUGUCGUGGAAUGGGCCUCUCUGGUGUUCUAGGUUAUAUAGGUUACUAUAGUAUUCCCGGAAGAUUUUGGCUAUGUCCUUGGUUUUAUCUUUGCGUGUACCGUCUUGCGCCUUUAUGUGGGAUAUGUAUGUUUUUUGGUGUUUUUCUUUUAGGGCUCUGGGCAGAUACUUCCCACUCCUAUUACCAUGUGCGUAAUAUGUUCCCCUGGUUAGAAGUACUACUUUGUGUGCCUGCAACGUAAGGAUAUUGCGCAGAUCCAUUCUCAAUGCCGUUAUCGUGUUAUACGCCUCCACUGAGGGGUCGGUUUUAUGUUUCAUUUCUGCUCUAGAUAUUGCUUCUGUGAGUGAUUUGAUCUUUGCUUGGCGUUCUUUUUUUAUACGUGCACCCCACUUAAUCAAUAUACCUCGGGUGAUACCUUUGUGUGCCUCCCAUACCCAGGUGUCUGCGGUGUCUUUGUUUUUGUUUUCUAGAAAGUAUCUAGGGAGGGAAUUAUUUAGGUCAUCAGUCACGCUAGGGUCAUCCAGUAGCGAUUCAUUUAACCGCCACUUGUUGGCGGGUGUGCAUGUUCCUGUAAUGGAAAGUGUGAGGAACACUGGGGCAUGGUCGGACCACGUGAUGUGGCCAAUUGAUGCUUCCUUCAACAGGUGUAAGUGCCUAUGUUCUAGGAAGAACAUGUCCAAUCUGGAGUAACUAUGAGCCACCUGUGAAUAGUAGCUAUAGUCCCUCUCCUGUGGGUGGGAUAUUCUCCAGCAGUCCACCAGCUGGUGGGCAUGGAGGGAUCUCUGAAACAAAGCCCUUUGGUGUAUCUGUGUGUCUUUACUGGUUGUGGAGCUGUCUGUAGAGUGGUCCAGAACCAUGUUCCAGUCUCCCCCUAAAACUAUUAUCCCGUUUGCAAAUUUGUGCAGUGUUGACAUGAGUUGACAAACGAUACUUGUUUGGUAUUCGGGGCAUAUAUAGUUGCUAGUGUCACCAAUGUGUUAUUCAGUGUGCCUUUGAUGAAUAGGUAUCUUCCCAAGUGGUCUGUUUCGAUUUCACUCGGGGUGAAGACUAUGCGUGGUGAUAUUAGGAUGGCUACUCCUCUUGCUUUGCCCCCAUGAUAGUUGCUAAAGAAUGCUUGUCCUAUUGUUUUUGCCCUCAGUUUAGGGGUUUGAUCCACUUUUAAAUGUGUUUCCUGUAAGAAAACGACAUCAGCCCGUUGCCUGUCUAUUUCUUGGGUUAGUACUGUACGUUUCUCUGGAGUAUUAAGUCCCCUAACAUUUAGGGACAUUAUUUUGAGAUCAGCCAUUGGAGGUUGGGUGGUAGUGAUGGCGUGUCUGCUCUGGGUGGUGGUGCUUACACUUGUACCUUUGGGGGUCAAGGGGAUGUAUGGGGGGUUUUAAACUUGGGAUGUUAUGUACAAUUAGCAUGUGGGUAACAUGCAUCUACCAGAUGGUGUCUAGCGCGCUAGGCUCUGUGUGAGUCCUACGUGCUCUCUGCGACACCUCUAGGGGGUUACGGGGUCUUGGGUGUCCAGAACGUGUGGCCUGUAAUCUGGUUUGUAAAAGCGUUUCUUAUUGUACGGCCUGUGUUUUCUUAUGUUAACUCGUAAUAAGGUUUGAAAUGUGGGUUUCUAUCCCCUAAUUUCGUGCAGCUAGGGCCCGGACCUCAAGGAAGGUGUAGGCGGUGGCUGCGCGGAAGGCAGUUUAAAUAUACAAUACGGUAAACAAUAUGCAAGUCGAGACAAACGGCAUAAAACUUUCAGUUAUAGAAGAAAGAGCAUCUAGGUGCUUCAAAAGUCUGUUUAACAUAAUAAAGGAUAUAUUGGGUCCCUCAGGCGGGUCUGCUUGUAGCGCUUCUGGGAGAUGCGGUCUGUUCAUUGCCCGAUGGGAUACGCCUUCUAUGCUUUUUCGGGGUUCUUUGCCAUUUAUUUCUCUGAAAGGUGUGUGAUGUCUGUCCCAAUGUUAGCCCAGUCCAGUCCUCCACUGUGUCCUUUGGAAGUUUUAGAGCUUGCUGGAAGGCCUGGACCUCUGCAGGUGUCGUGAUAGAGUACGUUGUCCCUUGCUGAGUGACCACAAGAGCGAAGGGAUAUGCCCAUCUGUAUCUAAUGUUCAUGUCCGAAAGGGCUGCUGUUAUGGGUCGGAGUGCUCUCCUCGCUAGUAGAGUCGAUUGUGCCAAGUCUUGAAAGAUCAACACUUUAUGGUCAUCAUGUUUGAUUUCUCUGAGGCGCCUGGCUUUUUGCAGGAUUGCUUCUUUGAGUGGGAAAUGGUGGAUUUUACAUAUAAUAUCCCUCGGUUUGUCCUGGGGCAGUGCCCGUGGUCUAAACGCUCUAUGCGCGCGGUCAAAUUUGAUGACAGUGUCAAGAGGCCUGCCCAGUAUCGUGUUAAAGAGGCCAGUGAGUAGGAGUAUAAUAUCUUCUGUCUCUCCCUCAUGUGUUUCAGGGAGACCCCUUAUCCUGAGGUUGUUUCUCCUGCCUCUAUUGUUCAAAUCCUCUAAUUUCCUUUGUAAGAAUAGGAUGGCUUCAUUGUGGGUUUGCUGGAGGGAUUGUAUAUUUGUGAGAUGCAGGGCACUUGCUUCCCCUUCUUCUUCUAAUGUUUGUACCCUGUGGCCUAUUUGGCUUACCUCCUCGUGGAGCGAUUGUAGUUUGUCCCCAAAGCUCCUCUCCAUCUUAGAGAACAUCAGUUCCAAGUCUAGUUUAGAUGGUAAUUGUGAGAGUAGGGUUUUUAGGUCGCUGCCCUCUAAGGAGUUUUCUGAGGUUGCAGGGCUAGGUGGUGCGCUGUGCGUGGGAGAUUUCUCAGUCGCCGCCAUCUUGGAUUUGAUCUCCGUCUUCAAUUUUUCUCCAAAAUACCGUCUGAGGGAUGUUUUGGACGAGGUAAGUGGUACCGCUGGGGUGGUGUUCGCCUGUGAUCUUGGUUUUUUUGAUGCCAUGUUGUCUUAUCUGCCGGGGAUGCUGCUUAUGAGGCCUGUUCUGGACGGAGCUCAGCUCUCAUGCGGCCAUUCACUCCGGUGACCAAGCCACGCCCCUUUUUGUUUUUUUUUAAUCAUUGGGCCUAUUCCAUGGGCAUGGGCCUGGAGCUGCAGCUCCAUCAGCUCCUUUGUUUUCCGGCUCUGCAUGCACCAAGAAAAAACUUGGGAUGUUGGGUGACCAUGGGCCUAUGCGCCAGACCAUGGGCCUAUGCGCCAGAUAUCGUGACACCAUGGUAACCAGGCACAAUGGCAUACAAGGUAACGUCCUUGCCCAUGCCCCAAACUUCGGUCCUGGACUUGGUCAAACAAGCCGCCCUUCCUGAAUGCGCACUUCACCCCCCUGAAUACCCCCUCAACCAACCCGGUUAGCGCUAACAAGCUUCCCAAUCCGAAACGCAGCAAAGAAGGCUAAGAGAAAUGCCAUGCGGAACAGGAGCCCCUCGAAAUCAUCAAAACAAAUGUCGGGCAACACUCGAAGCAAGGCCCCCAACACCCCCAUGGACACUGGGACCCUUCUGAUAACCCUUAAAUGCCUUUCUUAUCACAAAAUACUUUGUCAAAUCCUCCUACCCAUGCAGCUUAAACCAAAAUGCAAUCAUCGCCAUAUGCCUAUCCAUCACCGCCGCGGAUACGUUCCUAGCCAACAACGAAAGAGUAAACCAGAAAAAUGCAACAUUCCAUCGGACCUUCCGUUUUACCCGCCUUAAAUGGCCCACCAAGCUGUCCUGCCACCCAUUUAAUGGUCCUCAACAGGUGAAGACAGACUGAAGAAUACACCGGGCCAUGUGAACCGCCCCUGUCCCGGAUGGGAAUGAAUAAACCCGACUCGAAACCCAACCGCAACAGCUCAGCCUUGUUACUGUAGCAUCAGCCUUGUUACUGUAGCGGUUUAGCCAUGGCACCAUCGCGUAUGACUUCACUUGGGUUUUGCCCUCUCUUGAAACACCUGUUAGGGCCGUGGGCACCCCCACAACCCGAGCACUCAUGCUUGUAAUGACACGCAGAUGCACACUUUCACUGACCCCCAUUAAAGAGCCAGCUUAAGCCCUUUUGGAAGGCGGCUGAUGAGGUGGACUGCCCCCUUGUGCCGGCCACUUGCUGAAAGGGUGGCUUCUUCUGCACCACCAUCAUCUUCAAGCACAGUGAUAGGUCUUUCUGGCCCCACCUUGUACCUGGGUUCUCCGUGAGCCACUGCUGGAACUGCUCAUCAUACUUCCUCCACACGAGCUCAUUUUAAGUGCGCUACGCUUCUCAUAUCCCGUAGCAAAACAAUGAUGAACACAGCACUGGUGACUUUUCCUCAACCACACUGGUGUGGUAUUAGAUAAAUAUUGAAUAAAACUUUCAUAUAAUGUGUUACUUUUGUUGCAUAUGAAUAUGUAAUUUCAAAAUAUUGUAUGCGUAAAAAUAGUGAUGCAUUUGUAUAAUGCUAAUAAGUCAAAGAAUAUUUUGUGUAGAUAAAAUGCAAGAGGUUAUUUACAGUGUUCUAUUGGAAUAUAGAAUAGAUAUGUGUCUUUAUUUAUAAGGAAUUGUAGCAUGUAAAUGCAGGGGUGCAUUACUUAAGAAAUUAUUAAGAAAUGUACACUUAUAUUCCAUAAUCUGUUGCUGUAAUAUGUUAGUGUGUUAAUCUGUUACACUAAGUUUAAAAAAAAUACAACCACAUAAAUAUUGUAUAAGUACUAAUAGUUUUCAAAUAAGUUAUAAUGGAUUGAUAGAGAACAGGUUUACUAGUAAGACAGAUUUCAAUAGCUUGAAAUGCAUUCAUGAUGUUUUUUUAUUUUUUUUAUAUUAAAGCUGUUAAUGUGUUUUUAUUGUAGGAAAUCUCCAGACCAGUGGCAUUAUUAAGCAACUCAGAAUAUGGAAGACACUUACAACUCCAUGUAGAUAAAAUGACUAGAGAUCAUGCAAAGGUUGGGUUGGUACGCUUGGAAUUCUACCGCAAGAAUGGAAUUAGCCGAUCUGUAGAAGAAGGUUAUGGAUCUGUUAUACCAUCAUAAAUAUUUGUAGGAUUAUGUUGUAUAUUCUUUCUUCCUUCUGCAGACAAGCAUUACCAAGACAAGGAUACUAGUUAUUGUUCUUGAAGACAGCUUUGCAUUUGGUAUUGUCACAAUAAAGGAUUGAAAUUUAAUAUGUGACAAUUUUUUGUAUCAUAAAAGUGAUCUGAAGUGCCUGUGUCACCUAACAACUAAUAAUCGAGAGAUUAAAUAAAAU